GGUCUGGUGGUCUAGUGGUAUGAUUCUCGCUUAGGGUUCACCCUGUGCUAUUCUGCGAGAGGCCCCGGGUUCAAAUCCCGGCCAGACCC